CCCCCACAAAUAUUCCCACGCUUCUGCCAAUCCAUUUUUAAAAAAAAACCAUUUUCCACGAAAACCUUUCAACCUUUUCCAAAACACCUUACCAAACAAAUCCAGAAGCUUCUUUGAUUCCAACCUACCGAAAUGGAUCAAGACAAAGCCAGAAGCUUUUUCUGGAUUUUCUCAACUAUUUUUGCCGCCAUAGCACACAAGAAACACCAGAUUUGGCUGGGAUUUUUAUGCAUACAAUUUACACACAUCGGAGAAUCAGCCACACGCACUGAAUUGGAUAUCACUAAUAGCUUACAGCUUCACCCCCAACGACUCUCUACCGCCCCUUAGUCCCUUACAAUUCAUUGACACGCUCAUUGGACACUUCUAACUGGAAAUAAGAAAUUAAAUAAUUGGUUUCUUUGUCUGUGUAUCUGAAAUGGUAGCCUCUCUUUGAUCCUUUUAUAAAUGAAAAUUCCAACUGCUCUCAGCCAUGGUAGGAGCUUGGCCGGUCUGUUUUUUUUUGCAAGAAAUCCUUUAGUUAUGUUUUUUGAUCUAGUUCGAGUUUUCCGACGAGCUUCAAGGUCACUAGUGAUAAUUUCAGUUAGAGUUUUCGAUCCCGGCUCCUGUUCGUGAUGCCAUUGCUGUAAUUCAAAAGGUAUGGAUCCAUGUACAAGAGCUCGAGCAUGACAGAUACCCUAGGACCAUCGCAUUUGGGAGCUUGUUUGAGGAAACUUUUUAUGUUUUGAGUCUAUUUUUGUGGUGUUUUUUUUUUACUUUUUAGUCCUAUCUAGUAGUAUUCAGUCUUUUAGUUGGUGUCAGAGUUUAUCGUAGUAUAGUUGAGUUCGUCGAUUCUCUCGUUAUCAUUUGUAUUUGAAAACUGAAAAAAAAAAGUUAUAAAUGAAAAAUCCAAAAAGAUUUUUAUUUUUGGUU